rnacentral:rRNA from 1 species
UACGAAGGGGGCUAGCGUUGCUCGGAAUCACUGGGCGUAAAGGGUGCGUAGGCGGGGCUUUAAGUCAGGGGUGAAAUCCUGGAGCUCAACUCCAGAACUGCCUUUGAUACUGAGGAUCUUGAGUUCGGGAGAGGUGAGUGGAACUGCGAGUGUAGGGGUGAAAUUCGUAGAUAUUCGCAAGAACACCAGUGGCGAAGGCGGCUCACUGGCCCGAUACUGACGCUGAGGCACGAAAGCGUGGGGAGCAAACAGG